GACGAACGCUGGCGGCGCGCCUAACACAUGCAAGUCGAACGAGCGAGAGAGAGCUUGCUUUCUCAAGCGAGUGGCGAACGGGUGAGUAACGCGUGAGGAACCUGCCUCAAAGAGGGGGACAACAGUUGGAAACGACUGCUAAUACCGCAUAAGCCCACAGGUCGGCAUCGACCAGAGGGAAAAGGAGCAAUCCGCUUUGAGAUGGCCUCGCGUCCGAUUAGCUAGUUGGUGAGGUAAUGGCCCACCAAGGCGACGAUCGGUAGCCGGACUGAGAGGUUGAACGGCCACAUUGGGACUGAGACACGGCCCAGACUCCUACGGGAGGCAGCAGUGGGGAAUAUUGCACAAUGGGGGAAACCCUGAUGCAGCGACGCCGCGUGGAGGAAGAAGGUCUUCGGAUUGUAAACUCCUGUUGUUGAGGAAGAUAAUGACGGUACUCAACAAGGAAGUGACGGCUAACUA
rnacentral:rRNA from 1 species